GAUGAACGCUGGCGGCGUGCUUAACACAUGCAAGUCGAACGGUGAAGGCGGAGCUUGCUCUGCUGGAUCAGUGGCGAACGGGUGAGUAACACGUGAGCAAUCUGCCCUUGACUUUGGGAUAAGCGCUGGAAACGGCGUUUAAUACUGGAUACGAGCUGCGCAGGCAUCUUCAGCAGCUGGAAUGCAUUUCGGUCAGGGAUGAGCUCGCGGCCUAUCAGCUUGUUGGUGAGGUAAUGGCUUACCAAGGCGUCGACUGGUAGCCGGCCUGAGAGGGUGACCGGCCACACUGGGACUGAGACACGGCCCAGACUCCUACGGGGGGCAGCAGUGGGGAAUAUUGCACAAUGGGCGAAAGCCUGAUGCAGCAACGCCGCGUGAGGGACGACGGCCUUCGGGUUGUAAACCUCUUUUAGCAGGGAAGAAGCGAAAGUGACGGUACCUGCAGAAAAAGCGCCGGCUAACUACGUG
rnacentral:rRNA from 1 species